UAUUUAAGACUCCCAUUUGGCAGACUGGAGCUAGGAAGUCUCCUUUCUGGCUUAAAGAAAUAAGUGGCCACGUUGGAGAAGCCAUGUGUCAAGGAACUUCAGAUGACCUCUUGCACCUGAGGGCAGCCCCCAGCCAACAGCCAGGAAGAAGCUGGGAUCCUCAGUCCUGGUGCUGCAAGAAAAUGAAUUCUUCCAACAAACUAAGGGAGCUUGGAAGCAGAUUCUUCUCCAGUCGAGCCUCCAGAUGAAAACACAGUGUAACUGAUGCCUUGACUGCAGCCUGGUGAGACCCUGAGCAGAGGACCUGGCUAAGCUGUGCCUAGACUCCUGACCCAUAGAAACUAUGGACAAUAGUGUGUAUUGUUUUAAGCCAUUAAGUUUGUGGCAAUUUGUUACUGGAAAUGGAAAGUUAAUAUAGAUAUAUUGUCCUUACACUACACGCGAGGAAAGUGAAAUCUAGAAGUUCCAUCACUUGCUCAAGGUCUCACUACUGGAAAGUGGUAAGAAAACGGGAUGCAGAUUGAAGAAAAUGGAGGCUGUUCAAUAUUGCCUUGUCAUCAGCAGAUGAACCAAGACCGAAUUCAUGUCUCUUCACCGCCAGACCUCUGACUACAUUAAAACCCUGCUGGAAUCAAUGUCACGUUCUGAUGCCUGAUCCACACCCUUGCAACACUCUGCUUGGCCCCCUACAUUCCAACAGAGGUGUUUGUUGCUGUGCCUUCCAGACACUGCAUCUGGCCAGUGGGACCUCCUCAAGGGAAAACAGUUGAUCCUGCAAUGGUGUGUGUCUACUUCUUCCCAACCUGUCCCUCCCUACUCUAGUUUACAUCCUGAAGUAGGCAGCUUCCAAGAUGGCCCCCAAUGAUUCUCACCUCCUGGCGUUCAUGCUUGUGUAUACACUGAGUAGAGUUGAGCCGUGUAACCAAGAGGAUGUCGCAGAAAGGAUGGAUCAUGACUUUGGAGGACAGGUCAUAAAAGAUACGUGGUUUCUGCCUCAUUGUCUCUUGGGUUCUUAGCUCUGAGAGAAGCCAGCUGCCAUGUAAUGAGGACACUCAAGCAUCCCUAGGAAGGAGCCGAGGCCUCCUGCCAAGAGCCAGCUUCAGUUUUCAACAUGUGAGUGAGCCAUUUGGGAAGAUCUUUUCUCCAUUCAAGCGUUCAGAUGGCUGCAGAUCUGGCAAACAUCUUGGUUACAACUUCAUAAGAGACCUUGAGGCAGAACCAGUCAAGCUUCCCCUGAAUUCCUACUCUAUAGAAGCUUGAGACCACUCAACCAACCAUGAAAGCCCCGUCUUAACAGGAUGACAAAAGUUGAAAAUACAUAUGAAAACCUGACUAAAAGUGUGAAAAUAUGGUAAUUAAGGCCAGCAUGUGCACAUGUGUGUGCACACACACACACACAAAACAACAAGUGUCUCCCUCAUUUCCCAUGGUUCCUAGCUGAAACAAACCGCUGACCCAUUUAAGCAUAAUACAGAUGAGAAGAAAAAAAAAGGUAAGGGGGACCUAGGGGGUUCAGUCAGUUAUGCAUCUGACUUCAGCUCAGGUCAUGAUCCCAGAGUCCUGGGAUGGAGGCCCACAUGGACACCCGCAUGAGGCCUGCCUUGGGCUCAGCAGGGAGUCUGCUUCUCCCUCUGCUCCCUCCCAGCCUCCCCCCUCAUGGUUGCUCAAACUCUCUCUGAAAUGAAUAAAUAAAAUCUUAAGAAAAAAGGAACAAGGUAAAAUUUUGCUCUAAAGGAAACUAAGUAAAACACAGUAUCCAUGUUUGGCUUUUUGGGUGGAGUGCUAAUUCUACAUCCCAAGAAAAUCCACUGGUCAACGUAGAAAAAAGAGUGGUAGGAGGAUGUAAAAUAGAUAUACUAAUAAAGGGGCAGCUUUCUUGAGACAGAUGUUUUUCAGCCUAGGAAGAUAAAGGUUGAGAGGAAAUAUAAUAUCAGUCUUCAAUAUCCUACAGGCCAUGGAAAAGCUAAAGAGGAAUUGUUCAUCUGAUGUCAGGGUGAAUGCUUAGGUCUUUAGCAAUAUGGCCUUUGUGGCAGUCUCGUCUAUAUUUGGAUUAUAAAAAAAAUUAUCCACACCAGGAACUAAACAUAUUUUUUUAAUCGUACAGAAGUGGCAUGUAAAGCUUAUAAACAGCACAGGCUUUGGGGAAGCUGGCCUGUAAAGGUAAUAGCCCCUCCUCACCUUAACGAGCCCCAGGGUUGGUGUGUCUGAGCAUUCGAAAGGUCUUGCAGUCCCCUCAUCCAAAUCAGCCGUCUAACGAGCGCUCUCACCUUCUCUCACACCCUUCCCAAUCCAUUCUCCACAAGGCAGCCAGCAUGCUCAUUUUCAAAUAUAAAACCCAUCAUCUCUCCUUCGCUAUGCCCUUCGGGGUCCUCUCACUGUCCUUGUGGGGCAGUACAGCCUCCUCACGGUGACUGCUCAGGCUCCGCAGGCCUGGUCACCCCCCGCCUUCUUUCUCUUCUGCAAUACCCCAGCCCCUUCCUAUCUCGGGCUUUGGCAGCCGCGGCAUAUCCCAUGGCUGACGUACUGUCCUCAUUCGGGUUUUGAGUCUAACUCCCACAUCCCAGAAAGGCUUUUCCCGACAAUCCCUUUGAGCACGUGGUUGCUUUCCUUUGUAGCAUUUAUCAUUAUCGGAAAAUAAUUUUUUUUCUUGCUUGUUUAUUGUCUGUUCGUAUCACCAUGCCCUAAGUUUCAAAUGUCUUGCUCGCCCUUGUACUCCCAACACCUAGCACUGUGAUUGACAUUUGUCAUCCUCCUCCUCCUUAUUAGAAUAGUGAAUGAGGCAAAAUAGACAAGUGAAGAGCUGGCUAUUUCAGGGCAAAUUUCCAUAAUCAACACCAUUUCACACACUCUUCCCUCCUUCUUUUCCCUCCUCCCUCUGUCCUUCCCCCAACCCUCCACCUGCUCUUUCCAUGUCUCUGUGGCUUGCAAUAGGUAAAAAGUCUCAGCUUUUUACUUUGCUGCUCCCGGAAAGUGCAAAGCAACUAUACUCUGCUUUUAGCUUCUGACUGAAAGAUUUCAUGACCUGAACUGGGGGCUCCCUACCUGCCUGAGUUUGUCUAACAGUAGAGGGAACAUGCGUUUCCUGUUUGGGGAAAGACUUUUGCACAUAUUUAGCUCAGUGGUGUUUUUCUGUUGAGGUGUAAUCCUAAUGUGUGGCAGAAAGUGUUGAGUGAGUGAAGGAAAGUGCCAUGCGAGGUAGCACUAUUAAUAGCAAUCUGGAAAACGGACACCUGCAGGAGAGUCAGCCUCACGUCCAACCAUAGAACUUAACGUUUGUGCCAGCUACGAAGUAGCAGAGCUUUCCGGGACCAUCGCCCUGGAAACAGCAUCUACUGAAAUGUCCUCCUUUUUCAUUUUUGUCAUCCUGCCUGUUAAC